UCCAUACUAAAAGAACAUAAUCUGAGGAGCAUUCGGAUCUUAUUUUGAUUUAAAGGUUAUUUGUUGCUAGCAACACGUAUAUAUUGAUUACACUUAAACAUUUAUUUUGUUGAUACGAAACAAGCAACAAGUGGCGACUUUUUCGAGAAACAUGCUUAAGCUAUGCUAUGUUAUGGAAACCUUCAAUAAUUACCAGAAUUUCGGGACCCAGGUUCUGCAAUUAUGGAGAAGCAGAAACGGUUCUAUUCCAGAAAACUGAGAUCUUAGAUGUGCCGAACGUAGAAAAGGACAACACAAGUGAAAGGGAAAAAGGGACUGAGAGUUUGAAGUGUUUGGGCCGGCGCAAGGCAGGUUCAGCACGUUCGCCGGAACUCGGCCCCGCGUUUUAAGAGGUCCCGCGGUCUACGAAAAUUACCCAAUUAAAAAACACCGGUUUUGAUUAACUUUUUACAGAAUAAUGAUACCAUUAACAGAUACAAGACAUUUUCUUAGUAGCGAUGAUUCAGUUUAAAGGAGUGACGAAAAUCAUUGAAGUUCAGUGUAACUCCAUAAAGUCCUCAUAUCCUGGAAACU